rnacentral:rRNA from 1 species
GAAGAAGCACCGGCUAACUCCGUGCCAGCAGCCGCGGUAAUACGGAGGGUGCGAGCGUUAAUCGGAAUUACUGGGCGUAAAGCGCAUGCAGGUGGUUUGUUAAGUCAGAUGUGAAAGCCCGGGGCUCAACCUCGGAAUUGCAUUUGAAACUGGCAAACUAGAGUACUGUAGAGGGGGUAGAAUUUCAGGUGUAGCGGUGAAAUGCGUAGAGAUCUGAAGGAAUACCGGUGGCGAAGGCGGCCCCCUGGACAGAUACUGACACUCAGAUGCGAAAGCGUGGGGAGCAAACAGGAUUAGAUACCCUGGUAG